rnacentral:lncRNA from 1 species
UGGAAAACUGCAAGCACGGCAGAUGCCAAAACCCCUUUCCUGUGCCUGAAAGAGAACUUCUGGAGAUUUUCCAAAUGCAGACCAAGAGGGAUUGAGCUCUCCUCUACCCUGCCUGGCCCAGAAGUUCCAUUUCCUACCUCCUUCUAGCAGGGGAGCAGGGGCCUUCCUUGGUGGCCCCCAGGAUGGCCCUAUCUCAGAAAGACACAACCACGACUUCUCUGUAUAAUAGACACCACCACACAGUGUCAGGUACCAUGCUAGUUGAAGGAUAUAAUUGUGAACAAGUGAUGUGUGGGUCUUAGUGUCGAAGAGCUGACAUUGGAGGAUAUCAGAGACAAAAAUCAAGUAAGCAAAUACAGCAUUGUUAACUGCAGUAAGAACGAGGAGGACAGACACAGGCCCACAAGGAGGUCCGGGUGGCUCCUGGCAUCAGGGCCAUAUGUAGCUCAGCUUGGGGUUCAGGGUCCUAACUCCAGCUCUGGCAGGCUGGAGGAAGAGUCCCACAUCCAGAUGAAGUGGCACUUAUGGGUCUGAAAGAUAUAAGCCCGGGUCUAGGGGCUGAGUGGUCCUGUAUGCCAGGGGGCAUGCCAGGAGCUUCACCAUGUUAAUGUGCUUCAUCCAGAGAGGAAGCUGACCACCAGCAAUGCUUGUGAGACUGGCUGCUGGCUGCCUUCUUAUUCUCCUCUUGGGUCAGGGCUGACCCUCUGAUGGGGUGGGGCUGAGGCUGGCCAGCAGGGAGGCCAAGCUGUUGGAUCAGAGGAAGGCGAUGUCAGACACCAGCCCCUGUCACCCACCAGCUCUUCCCUUCCCAUUGUCCCUGGCUGGCCCUGGCCCAGCCUCUCCAGCAUCCUCAUUUGCCUCCCUGCCUCCGGCUCACCCUGCCCACAUAUCCACCAGGGGCUGCCGUUGUUUCUCUGAUUAGUUACUGUGUUGCUGCCAAAUUAAUGCUUCUAAACCAUAUUUUAUAACAGCAGCCUUCAUCUGCAGAGAAUCUUUGAAAAUACUUGGCUUGGCAUUUAAAGUGGUACAAAAAUGUGGCCUUACUGAAUUUUUACAGCUUUAUUUAUCCUUUCAGAGGUGCAUCCUGCACGUAUGUCAAACUGUGGGUCCUCAUCCCUCUGCCACACCUCUGCUCAGUUAUCUUUCUCUCCUUCAACCCCCCUCCCUGCCACCCUCCUGCAUCCCUCUGGGUAGUGAAACAGCCCCUUAUUCAGUCAGCCAGCCUUGCAUUCAGCAGGCUCUGCAGGCUCCCACUCUGUGCCCGCCAUUCCUGGGCAGCACUAGGACCCCCCCUGCUCUGACACCUCAUCCACUUGUUUUGUAAUCUUAUUAAUCUUCAUUUAUUAACUCCUGAAUGAGACCUUAUCCUUCUGCUCCUCUGAACUGUAACCCUUCAAUGGCAGAGGCUGCAUCUUGCCCAUUCCUUGGCCUCAUGGUUCCCUGCCUGUGGCAGGGGUCAAUAAAUGUGCUACAUGACCUGGACUAACAUGGGCUCUGGAAGGAAAGCACUAAAUACUGGCCUGGGGGCUGGAACUCAGUCUCAGCUCUGCCACUUAACUGCUGGAUAGUCUCUGGAACAUUACUGUCUUUUUCUGAGCCCCAGGAUCCCCAGCUAUAACAUGCGGCUGCCAUCCGUGUCUUGGUUACCUUACUAGG